AGGCUUAUAGUGCUUAUGGCAAGCAGUGCUCUGAAAAUGAUUGCACAGAACAAGGAGUCAGAGUAAACCUAACCCAAGUCAGCCCAGGGCCUGUGCCUGGCCAGAAUCAUGAAUAGGGGACAAGA